rnacentral:rRNA from 1 species
UACGUAGGGUGCGAGCGUUAAUCGGAAUUACUGGGCGUAAAGCGUGCGCAGGCGGUUUUGUAAGCCAGAUGUGAAAUCCCCGGGCUUAACCUGGGAAUGGCAUUUGGGACUGCAAAGCUGGAGUACGGCAGAGGGAGGUGGAAUUCCACGUGUAGCAGUGAAAUGCGUAGAGAUGUGGAGGAACACCGAUGGCGAAGGCAGCCUCCUGGGCCAGCACUGACGCUCAUGCACGAAAGCGUGGGGAGCAAACAGG